rnacentral:misc_RNA from 1 species
GAUGAAGAACGCAGCGAAAUGCGAUAAGUAAUGUGAAUUGCACAAUUCAGUGAAUCAUCGAAUCUUUGAACGCACCUUGCGCUCUUUGGUAUUCCGAAGAGCAUGCCUGUUUGAGUGUCAUGAAAAUAUCAACCUUGACUUGGGUUUUGUGCUCUAGUCUCGGCUUGGAAUUGGGUGCUUGCCGCUUUUACGAGCGGCUCACCUUAAAUGUAUUAGCUGGAUCUGUCUUUGAGACUUGGUUUGACUUGGCGUAAUAAGUAUUUCGCUAAGGACAUUCUUCGGAGUGGCCUCGUUUCUAGGACGCUUGUCCGCUUUCCAAUACAAGUUCCACCUCGUGGACAUGACUUUUUAUUAUCUGGCCUCAAAUCAGGUAGGACUGCCCGCUGAACUUAAGCAUAUCAAUAAGCGGAGGA